AGGAUAAACGCUGGCGGCGUGCCUAACACAUGCAAGUCGAACGUCUCUUCUUUCGGGAAGAGGAGUGGCGGACGGGUGAGGAACACGUGGGAACCUGCCCUUUAGUGAGGAAUACCGGCGAGAAAUCGCCGACAAGACCGCAUAGCCCUCUUUGAUGAGAGUCAAAGAAGGAAAGCUUCGCAAGAGGCGCUAGAGGAGGGGCCUGCGUCCGAUUAGCUAGUUGGUGGGGUAAGAGCCGACCAAGGCGUCGAUCGGUAGCUGGUCUGAGAGGACGAUCAGCCACACUGGGAUUGAGAACGGCCCAGACUCCUACGGGGGGCAGCAGUGAGGAAUUUUCGGCAAUGGGGGAAACCCUGACCGAGCAACGCCGCGUGCAGGAAGACGGCCUUCGGGUGUAAACUGCUUUCUUUGGGACGAGAACGGACGGUACCAGAGGAAUCAGCCCCGGCUAACUACGUGCCAGCAGCCGC
rnacentral:rRNA from 1 species